rnacentral:rRNA from 1 species
UGGGGAAUUUUGGACAAUGGGCGCAAGCCUGAUCCAGCCAUGCCGCGUGCAGGAUGAAGGCCUUGGGUUGUAAACUGCUUUUGUACGGAACGAAAAGACUCCUUCUAAUAAAGGGGUCCAUGACGGUACCGUAAGAAUAAGCACCGGCUAACUACGUGCC